GGGGUUGUACUGGUUUCGACGGGGGUUUUGCAGUUGUGGAAGCCAUUCGCGGACUAUGACCGCGUACUAACAUAGAAUUAAAUAUAAACGCAGACGAAAAUUUAGCGUACGCAGCCUAGUGGCUGCAGUCGACCUUAGGCCUUCCGCAGCUUAAGUGUUCGGCUUCGACCUUGCGGAGCACUUUGUUCUGUAAGCUUUGCCAGAAUAAAAGAAAUAUGAAGCUACCAAUGUGGUAAGCCUGUCAACCGGCGUAUCACGGAGGGAACAGCUAGUAUAGGCUAGCAUAAAAGAUUGACUGUAAUGGGAGAUGCCGCAAUGAAUGGGCUUUCGGACAGGGGUUCGAUUCCCCUCAGCUCCAU
rnacentral:tmRNA from 1 species